CUGGAGGAGAGCUUGUGGGAGCCAAGGAGCACCUUGGACAUCUGGAGUCUGGCAGGAGUGAUGACGGGUGGAGGGGCUAGCUCGAGGCAGGGCUGGUGGGGCCUGAGGCCAGUGAGGAGUGUGGAGUAGGCGCCCAGGCAUCGUGCAGACAGGGCGACAUCAGCUGGGGACGAUGGGCCUGAGCUAGGGCUGGAAAGAAGGGGGAGCCAGGCAUUCAUCCCGGUCACUUUUGGUUACAGGACGUGGCAGCUGGUUGGACGAGGGGAGCUGGUGGGCAGGGUUUGAUCCCAGGGCCUGGGCAACGGAGGUGUAGCUGGCAGCAGCGGGCAGGUGAGGACCCCAUCUGCCGGGCAGGCAGGGGUGAGGAGCGCAGCGGGCGGCGAGCGGGAGGCACUGGCCUCCAGAGCCCGUGGCCAAGGCGGGCCUCGCGGGCGGCGACGGAGCCGGGAUCGGUGCCUCAGCGUUCGGGCUGGAGACGAGGCCAGGUCUCCAGCUGGGGUGGACGUGCCCACCAGCUGCCGAAGGCCAAGACGCCAGGUCCGGUGGACGUGACAAGCAGGACAUGACAUGGUCCGGUGUGACGGCGAGGACAGAGGAGGCGCGUCCGGCCUUCCUGAACACCUUAGGCUGGUGGGGCUGCGGCAAGAAGCGGGUCUGUUUCUUUACUUCCUCCACGGAGUCGGCACACUAUGGCUGCCCUCUGGGCUCCCAGAACCCACAACAUGAAAGAAAUGGUGCUACCCAGCUCAAGCCUGGGCCUUUGAAUCCGGACACAAAACCCUCUAGCUUGGAAAUGAAUAUGCUGCACUUUACAACCACUGCACUACCUGACUCAGGAAUCGGCUCUGGAAGGUGAAGCUAGAGGAACCAGACCUCAUCAGCCCAACAUCAAAGACACCAUCGGAACAGCAGCGCCCGCAGCACCCACCCCGCACCGGCGACUCCAUCUUCAUGGCCACCCCCUGCGGCGGACGGUUGACCACCAGCCACCACAUCAUCCCAGAGCUGAGCUCCUCCAGCGGGAUGACGCCGUCCCCACCACCUCCCUCUUCUUCUUUUUCAUCCUUCUGUCUCUUUGUUUCUGAGCUUUCCUGUCUUUCCUUUUUUCUGAGAGAUUCAAAGCCUCCACGACUCUGUUUCCCCCGUCCCUUCUGAAUUUAAUUUGCACUAAGUCAUUUGCACUGGUUGGAGUUGUGGAGACGGCCUUGAGUCUCAGUACGAGUGUGCGUGAGUGUGAGCCACCUUGGCAAGUGCCUGUGCAGGGCCCGGCCGCCCUCCAUCUGGGCCGGGUGACUGGGCGCCGGCUGUGUGCCCGAGGCCUCACCCUGCCCUCGCCUAGUCUGGAAGCUCCGACCGACAUCACGGAGCAGCCUUCAAGCAUUCCAUUACGCCCCAUCUCGCUCUGUGCCCCUCCCCACCAGGGCUUCAGCAGGAGCCCUGGACUCAUCAUCAAUAAACACUGUUACAGCAAUU
rnacentral:lncRNA from 1 species